rnacentral:lncRNA from 1 species
UGGUUUGACUAUAUUUAGUAUUGUUUCUAUUUAAACAUAGCUCUGGUUUGACUAUGUUUAGGAUUGGUUCUAUCUAAUUAUAGCUCUGGUUUGGCUAUAUUCAAGAUUGUUUCUAUCUGAAAUAGCUCCAGUUUGACUAUAUUUAGUACUUAUUAUAUCUAAACAUCGCUCUGGUUUGACUUUCUUCAGAUUUGUUUUUAAUUUAACAUCGCCCUGGUUUGACUAUAUUCAAAAAUGGUUCCAUGUAAAAAUUGCUCUGGUUUGACUAAAUUUAGGAUUUUUUUCUAUCUAAACAUAGCUUCGGUUUGACUAUAUAUUAAGAAUUGUUUCUAUGGUUUGACUAUAUUUAGGAUUAUUUCUUAUUAAGCAUAGCUCUGGUUGGACUUCAUUAUUUGGUCAUUCGAGUUUAUGAGCACUUUCG